UAAUUUCUUUUAUCUUCUUUCUUCCUCACAAUUUUACAUUUACUCACUCAGCAGUAAAGGUCUUGGACCUGAAAUUCUUGUAGUACUAAUUUAACAGAACCGUUCUUCGAGAAAAUGGCUUGUGAAGGUCUUGGACACUGCAAAAAUGGUUUGUCUUGGGUCUUAAUCAUAUUUUCUCUGAACAUUCUGAGCUUGACGU
rnacentral:lncRNA from 1 species